CACUACAAGUACAUGUCAAAAUUGAUCCAUGUCUUCAUUAUUUUCACCAAUAUAGGAGCAGAACAGUUCUGUAAACUGGACCAGUUGAUGUUUACAGAGGGAGUACUUGACAGUGGUAUAAAUAACUAUGGGUAAUAUUUGAAGAUAACUUCAAAGGAUGCUUCAAUUUUUUGUGACUUGUUCUGAAAUCAUAAGAGGCAAAUCAUCUACAGUAGAAUGUGAUACCUUGGUAAUAAUGGACAAGAUGAGAUCUGUGUCACUUUGAAUAAACGGGAAUGCUGGUUGGCAAGUCAGAGAAAUAGAAUAAUGAGAAUCAUAUGGUUUGCUUGGGAUGAUAAGCGAAGAAAGCUCUAAGGUUUCCCUUCCUGCAUCCUUCUAUCUGACACCACUAAGUACUAACUGUGCACUAAUAAGAAUUAUCUGUUUCUACAUCAGGCCACCAAGAAUAGCUGUACUCCGAACAUGAACAAUAAAGAUAGUGAUGUGUUCAGUCUUAUGUAGCUAAGUAACCUUUGUUGUUUUCUGACCUUUUUCCUUAAAAAGGAUCCAAUAACAACUGUUUGUUUAGGUUAGCUACCAAGGGGACUUGAAUUUCAUUAUGCUAGAAUGGCUUACACUAGCUGGUUUAGUUGUGCUCUUAGGCCUUCGCCUGAUGGCUGACAUGCAGUGGGUAUGUUAAUCCACCCUUCAGCUGAGCAUAAUAGUGUUGUAUUGAUUCAUCCCACUGAUUUGCACGAAGCAUCUAGACCCAAGACCUAAGAGGCUAUGUGACAACUUAUUGCUUGAAUUUUCAUUGUAGAUAAUCUGAUUUACUGUCUGACAUAAAAUCUCUAGUUUGAUCCUACUCAUCUUUGCAGCCCUAUUGUAUUGAAUUGACAAUAUAGUUGACUUUCCAGACCUUAUCUGCUGAUGUCAUGGCCUCCUUUGGUUUCAUCAUGAAUGGCUACUCAGGGGAUUCUUUGACGUGAAGGGGGUCACCCCUACAUGGCUAAACCUAAUUUAUGGGUUAGUCUGGUAAGAAUACUGUAUCUAUGUUCCAGAGUUUAACUUGAUAAGUAAACACGGGCCGUUAUACAUCUGUUUUACUCUCCUUAAGCAUGAGAAACCUAAUUUCCAACCCUGAACAUGAUAUAUAUUUUUUGAACGGAAAAUUAUAGGGGAGGCUCGACAGUACAAAUUUAGUAAAAUAAGUACUCCCUCGGAUCCAUAUUACUUGUCGCUGUAUAACUUUGUACUAAACCAGCGACAAGUAACAUGGAUCGGAGGGAGUAGUAAUAAUCUGGUAAGCCUGCUCAUCAUUCAUUCUGUAAGAGAGAAGGAAAAGGUCUCUUUUAAUGAGGAAAGGCCAGGAGGCUAAACUAGGAGGAAUAUUAUGAAAAAAUUCUAGCAUUUCUUUGUUUCCAAAUGUUCCAAGCUGCUACAAGAAAGGCUUCUCUGGAGAGAGAUUUGCUGAGAGGAAGGAGCAAGGUGAAGAUUAAUUGAGGCCUAGCAGCCUCUGCUGAAGGAGCAGUUCCAGAAAAUAUGAUCACGAGUUUCAAGGGUCCCUGAGGUACGCAAACGCAGCUGGAACCGCCAUUCGUAUGAAAGUUACGUCUUUCAAGCAUAUCUUUAGUAUUUAGUCUGUCAUUAAAGAGUAAACAGGCAAAAGCUUUGAGUUUGGCUGAGCAUUUGAAUUUCCUCAUCCACGAGGAGAUGCUGUAUAUUUGGUCGCAUAAUAGCCAUUCCCCAAUUAGUCAGCUCUACAGCAGCUAUAGGAAUUACCCACAUAACCAUUGGUAAGAAGUGUAAGUAACUUGGUUAAAAACAUAACUCUAGUAUCUACUGCCUGCCUGCCUGGAUUUGAUAGAAUCAACCAGGUACAGCAUGUUCCGUUGGCCAUCACCAGGUGGUAACCAACCAAUCACUAUGGUGGGAACCACAAACCUUGGUUGUCUCUGACGUCACUGAUUGGUGCAUUUCUGCGAGGGCACUCACUAUGUGCAUCCCUCAGCCAUCUAUUAAAAGAACGAACAUUCAGAAAGUUCAUUGGAUUGCUCCACUUGAUUGCGGCCAACGAUUAAAUCCCACUUUGGUGGAGCAGUGGAGCCCCACGAUUGGUGGUAGUGAUUUCCUUGCUGUCGUACUGGGAGCACUUGUCCACUGAUUAUACGUAGUUGAUUUUUUUUGAGGAUUUAAUGUAUAUUCAAGGAUGGCCCAGGUGGGACUCGAGAGUGCUAAUCUUACUUGGAAGUUGGAACUGAGAUCUGGUGAUCAUGUCAACUUUAACAGCAUCGAGAUGGGAGACGAUUUAAUUAGAUAGAGGACUUUCUAGUACUUUACACUCCAGGGUGGGGAAAUGCAGCACUUCGGAUAAGAAUGAAGUAGUGGCUGAAUAGGAAGGCCACAUUGCUCUAUCUCCAUAUUCUAAAAGGCAUAGCUUUAGAGGUGGAGUGUGCUUCUUCAGCUUUUUGUAAAGGCUUUUAGGCUACCUUUAUAUUUUAUAGUACAUUCAGCCCACAUGAUCAGUUCCUGAAUUUCAUUUUGUUGGGAAAUAUCGCUUGCUGAAAGUACUGCUUGGCGAGGAAGGACCUACAUAACUGACAUUUUUAUGAGAAAACACAACUGGUAAAUUAGAGGUGCUAUUGGAUAAAACUGAAAAGGCUAAUGUCAAUGGAAUUAUGGGACAAGGAGCGAAGACCAAAUGACAAAUCAAGGAGAUAAUGAGUGGGUCUGGAAGUGGAAUGGGAAUUUCUCUAGAGAGAGAAUGUAGAUGAAAUUGACAUGCAGCGAGGCAACAACGACAUCAUUGUGAAUCCCAGCAAUUGAGCACUCGACACAGUAAAGUUUAGUUUACUCUCAUUGUCCUUUCUCCAAUAAUGCAUUGUACGCUGGCCAAUUUAAAAUGCCACCUUGCAGAUUCUUGGUGCUUGCACUAUGAUUUACCUGGCAAAGCACCUGCAGACAUCAGCAGCCUCACGAGCAUAUAAGGCAACCCUUCCCUCUCCUCUUGUCCACAGCCCCUACCGACUAUGGAAGGCGCAUGGCUCGAGCAUCUACAUGGCUCAUGAGAGCAGAAGCAGGGCCGGGAUGAACCGCAAAGCUGAGCGCUUCAGCUUGCGGUGCCUCUCCUGACCUCCCAGGUGGUCGCCUGAGGUACGCAAGAAUCGGCAAGUCACAAAACGGCAAUGGUGAACUCCGGCAGGAGUCCACCCCCCUUUUAUCCUUUUCUCUCCAUUCAGUUGUAUCAGGUGGAAGUCGAAUAAUCGGAAGUCUCUGUGUGUGAUGAAUCAGUGGAUGCUUCAAGUCCAUGUUUUGUUUUUCUCUUCCUUUAUUAUGUGUACUCUGGAAACACUACUAUAAAUGGCUGAUGUUCAUCUAGCAAAACCACUUUAUGGUGUCUUGUUUGA